UACGUAGGGUGCAAGCGUUAAUCGGAAUUACUGGGCGUAAAGCGUGCGCAGGCGGCUUUGCAAGACAGAUGUGAAAUCCCCGGGCUUAACCUGGGAACUGCAUUUGUGACUGCAUGGCUAGAGUGCGGCAGAGGGGGAUGGAAUUCCGCGUGUAGCAGUGAAAUGCGUAGAUAUCAAGUGGAACACCAGUGGCGAAGGCGAGUCCCUGGACAACUCCUGACACUGAGGCACGAAAGCUAGGGGAGCAAACAGG
rnacentral:rRNA from 1 species